UACGUAGGGUGCAGGCGUUAAUCGGAAUUACUGGGCGUAAAGCGUGCGCAGGCGGCUACUCAAGUCAGAUGUGAAAUCCCCGGGCUUAACCUGGGAACUGCGUUUGAAACUGGGUAGCUGGAGUGCGGCAGAGGGGGGUGGAAUUCCACGUGUAGCAGUGAAAUGCGUAGAUAUGCGGAGGAACACCGAUGGCGAAGGCAAUCCCCUGGACCUGUACUGACGCUCAUGCACGAAAGCGUGGGGAGCAAACAGG
rnacentral:rRNA from 1 species